AUGUCCAGUAUAGGUAGAAAGUAUCCAUCCGGAAGUCAUAAAAGAAAGAAGAAGAAGGAGGCAGAUGAGGAGAAAGAAGCAUUGAGCGGAUCUCUUUUUAAAUAUUAUAAGAACGAUACGAGCACGCCAAGUAAUCCAGACGAGUUGGCAAUAGUUCUUGCGGGUGACUGGACUGAUGGAAAUCCGGAAGAUGAUGGUCAUACUCUUACAGGAGGCGAUGCCGACGUCAACAUGGAUGAUAGCAAUGUAAGUGAUCAUGAGCCCAUGUUUAAUUCAACUGCGGCAAAAUCUACCAGUGUUGAUGAGGAACCAAUUAGUGUGGAUAUUUAUGAUGCAAGCAAUUGGGGCAAUCUUGAUAACAAAGUGAGGGACAUAUUAGUGGAAAAGGGGCCUAAAAGGGAAGGAUAAAACACUAAAUAUUCUUUGGAUGAGAAUUUAAGACAUUUUUCAUAUAGCCAUUACUCAAGAAAGAUGAGCAAUGGAGAGGUGAGUGAUAGAAAAUGGUUAGUUUUAUCAAAACACACAAAGAAAGUGUUUUGUUUUUGCUUAAAAAAGCAAGAAGCUAGUGUCGACCAUACUACCAACAUGAACUCUUGGAAAGAAUUGAGAUUUAGACUGAGCAAGCAUGAAACAAUUGACAAAGACAUACAGCAACAAAUCACAAAGGAUAAGGAACGCAUAAGGCAAGUUUUGUUAAGAAUUGUUGCCAUUCUUCAUGAUGAUUGAAAUGGAGAUUUUUUAGCUUGUGUGGAGAUGGUUGCAGAGUUUGAUUUUGUAAUGCAAGACCAUCUUAGGCAUAUUCAAAACAAAGAUAUCCAUCACCAUUAUCUUAGCCAUAAAAUUCAAAACGAGUUGAUUUCUCUUAUGGCUGGUGACAUUACAAAUUAUAUUCUCAAGAUUGUCAAAGUGGCCAAAUAUUUCUCUAUUAUCCUAGAUUGUACCCCGGAUGUGAGUCAUCAAGAACAAAUGAGUUUGUUGGUUCGAUGUGUUCAUAUGUCUGAUGGAAAAAUACAAAUUGUGGAGUACUUCCUUGCUUUUUUGUUGGUAAAUCCAAGAGCUUUGUAUAUGCCAUGUGCUUGCCACAGUCUUAAUAUUACCCUUUGUGAUAUGGCUAAAUCUUGUGGUAGAGUUGUUUUUUUUGGAAUUGUGCAAUGAAUAUAUGUAUUAUUCAGUGGUUCUACGAAAAGAUGGAAAGUUUUUGUUAGCCAUGUGACAGAUUUGACUGUGAAAUCUUUGAGCAAUACUCGUUGGGAGAGUCAUAUCAAAAGUGUUAAAGCAAUUAUAUUUCAAGCUCCUAACAUAAGACCAGCUUUACUUGAGUUAAGUGAAGAUAGUGGUACCAAACCAAAGGAUAGGGAUGCUAAAAAUUUGUUUGAUGUGCUUGGCAGCUAUGAGUUCAUACUUGCCAUGUGCAUUGAGACUGCCUUAAAGCAAAUAGAUGGUAUGAGGACUUAUUUUGACACUUAUAGAGAUGAAGGGUUUGAUUCUAGUGUGGUCAUUGCCAAAGAAAUCGCAACUGAAAUGGGUGUAGAACCAUCAUUUCCAGUAAAGUGUCAUGAUUUUAAAGUAAAUUAUUUCUUGAUUAUAGUUGAUAAGGCGGCCACUUCACUGAAAAUUAGAUUUGAUGAACCUGAGUCAUUCAAAAAUAUAUGUGGAUUUGUAAUGAGUUCAACGGCCUUGAAGUCAUUGGACCGUUCUAAACUUAAAGAUAGUUGUACAAAAUUUGCAAGUGCUUUCUCUUCGGGUGGUUCAUCUGAUGUUGAUUUAAAUGAUCUGAUUUCGGAGUUAAUUUUUAUGCAGUCAACUUUGCCCGAUAGAACAAUGUCUGCUAUGGAGAUUUUUGAGUUUGUGAGGGAAGCAGAUUGUUAUCCAAAUAUUGCUAUUGCAUACCGGAUUUUCUUUACUAUGCCUGUUACUAUGGCAUCAACUGAAAGAAGUUUUUUGAAGUUCAAAUUGUUGAAGAACUACUUGAGAUCUACAAUGUUGCAAGAGAGGUUAAAUGGCUUGGCAACUUUAUGCAUCGAGGAAAAAUUGCUUGAUGAAAUACAUAUUGAUACUAUCGUUAGUGAUUUUGCAUCUCAGAAUGUUAGGAGAAAAUUUUGA
rnacentral:rRNA from 1 species